UGGGGUAUAGUUCAGUGUUAGAACACUUGUCUAUUGCUGACAUACAUGAGGCCUUGGGUCCAAUUCUCAACAGCUCAG
rfam:Cricetulus griseus cell line CHO-K1, whole genome shotgun sequence.